UGAAAAAUUUUGCAUAAGCCCGCGUUUAAGAUGUCCAAUAUGGUCGUCAGUUCCUGUGCGCGCAGCGGAAACGUUACCAACAAGCACAACAAGUGUCAUACAGUGAUUUCCUCUCCUCGUGGCUCUCUUGCUUUUAUUUUGCAUAAAUAACAUUUAUGCUGCAAAUAAGUUUUUAAUUCUAGUAAAUGGUGAAUUAGCAUUAUUUUGAAAAACCAAUUGUUGAUGCGAGAUUAGCAAAAAUAUACGUGCCUUUUUACAAACUUUUUGAGAAGGACCUGUAAGUUAAAUAUGUCUGAGAAAUUUAAAGAUUUCUCUGAACUUAGUUUGAGGCAGCAAAGAAGACGAACCUCUUUACUUCGUGGGAACAUUGACGUCCAAACUAUUUCAAGCCCAUCUACAUCUGGUUCCAAUACCUCUUUUUUUGUAACAAGUACAUUUUCCGGUGACAUUGAAAAUUUUAAUUUUAACAACGAAAAUAAUCGUGAAGAACUUCAAUCACAAGAUAAUGGCAAUGAUCAUGAUAAUGAUAAUGAAAUAGUAGAAGACGAAGACUUUCAGGAGGAUGAUGAUGAUGAUAAUGAUGAGGAUGAUUUCGACUAUGAUGAUAACGACGAUGAAGACGAUGUGUACGACGAUGAUGACAAUAGUGAUGGAACAAGUUCUGAAGAUAGAGAAGAAAAUGUACAUAUUGAUCGGAAUCCUCUGAUUGCACAUAAAAGGAUUCUAAAAAACGCAUUUCUCGCUGCUAACUUAAAACAUACCCAAGGGAAUAUUAUUCUAAGAACAUUAGGAGAACCUCCUUUUAAUUUAACUUAUUUACCGAAGGACGUUAGAACAUUAUUGAAUACCCCUGCUAUAGUAGCAAGUAACAUAGUUCAAAACGUUGCAGGAGGAGAGUAUCUUCACAUUGGAUUUAAAAAAACACUGUUGAAAAAAUUGGAAACGAUUCCAGAAGAUAUGUUGCCGGAAUUUUUUGAGAUUGACCUAAGUACUGAUGGUGCAAGUAUUCACAAUGGAUCACAUGAGUUGUGGCCUCAUCAGUACCGUAUUAACAAUGUUGGUGAUAAAAGACCCAUUACAGCAGGUAUUUUUAAAGGUCGGCAUAAACCAUCCAAUCCAUUUGAUUUUUAUGAGCCACUGGUAGAGGAAUUCAGGGAAAUUGAUGAUGAAGGUGGUAUCAUAAUAGGAAAUCGUUUAAUCCCUCUGACAUUUCGAAGCUUAAUAGCUGAUGCACUGGCCAGAGCAUUCGCACUAAAUCAUUGCGCUCACAAUUCUGCCAAUGCUUGCUCUAAAUGUAAAGUGAUAGGGCAUCGCAAUGUGCCAGGCUUUCCACGUACUACGGUUUUCGAAGGAAUUAGGCACGCCCCGAGAACAGACGAAGAAUAUGAAGCUCUUGAGGACGAAGAUCAUCACAAGGGUAGAAGUCCAUUGUCUCCGUUUGUACCUUUAGUGAGACGAGUGCCUUUUGAACCGAUGCACCUUCUGUAUCUUGGAAACACGAGAAAAGUAUUAAAUGCACAUGUUCAUGGAAAAUUUGGAAAGAGAAGAUUAGAUGGUAGAAAAUUGGAUAUUUUUGAUUCGAGAAUGGAACAAUUGCAGGCAUACUGCCCAUCAGAAUUCAAUCGUCAACCGAACAAAAUUUCUAUGCUUCAUACAUUUAAAGCGACUGAACUGAGACAAUUUCUUCUCUACAUUUCUCCGGCUGUUCUACAAGAUAUCUUUACAAACGAUCGUUAUGAGCAUUUUAUGAUUCUUCAUUGCACCAGCCGACUUCUUGCUUCAGACGAGACACAACGUGAAAUGUAUCCUUUUUGCCAAGGAGCUUGCGAAAGUUACGUAACUUUGUGUGCCAGGUUGUACGGACGACAGUUUCUUUCGUACAAUUUGCAUUGUCUUUUGCACAUGACAGAAGAUGUCGAAACAUUGGGUAAUUUGGAUUCAUUCAGUGCAUUUCCAUUUGAAAAUAAUAUGCCAGAAAUGCGAAAAUUAAUUCGGAAACCACAUCUCAGUCUUCAGCAAAUAUAUAAAAGACUUUGUGAGAAGGAUUUUAAUACCGCAAUUGUCGAUGAUGAUACUGGCAUUCAGUUCACACAACCACAUGCUGAAGGACCACUUUUAGGAGAUUUUCCAGCUAAUGUUUGGCACCAGUUUCACAACCUGCAAGUUGGUAAAUUCAGAUUUGCAACGAGUCUGCGUGACAGCUGCUGCGCCUUAGAAGAUUCAAGAAUUUGUCUCAUAAAAAAUAUAAUAAAUUAUGGAGACCAAACUUUUUUUAUUGUUCAACAUUUUCGAACUGCCCUGCCGGUAUACAAUAUUGGAAUCACGUCGGACGUUGCAGGCGUAUUUAAUUGUUCAAAUUUAUCUCGUAGGCUUGAAGCAGUUAAUAUCAAAGAUGUGAAAAGUAAAGUUUACAGAAUGCCUAAAUAGAGCAGUGCAAAUGGAAGGGAAGAAGUAGUGAUUGAAAACAAUUGGAUAUGCGUUUUGUUUCUAUCAACGAUAGUGUGGCCAGAAAAUUAAUACCAUUUACUUCUUGAUUACAAUAUUUCUCAGUGGAUAUCAUAUAGAAGUAACUGCAGCACCAUGUCACAUUUUUUAACUUUAAUAGGAUCGGAACAAAGUAAAGCAAAACGAGCACUUCGGACUACUACCAGUGGUAGGAAAAUUAAAACCCCUCAAAAUCUUUUGACGACCGAUGACGAUGCACCUUCGGAAAAAAUAUCUAAGAAUCACAAAAGUGUUAAAGAGCAGAUAGAACAUUUGACAGCAUUAGCAAAACAAGUUAUGCCUAAUAAUUUACGGAAAGUCGAAUCAGCGGCAGAGAAGGAUGCAAAAAAGCAGACAAAACUAUUGGCAUCAGUAAAAAAACAAAAUGGACUCAAAAACCGAACGACUUUGUAUCAAAAGCAAGCAAAGUUGAAACUCACUCU